CACCGUCAAGAGAAAGAGAUUCUAUGGGUGGUGGUGCAUGGCCGUUCUUAGUUGGUGGAGCGAUUUGUAUGGUUAAUUCUGUUAACGAACGAGACCUCAGCCUGCUAACUAGCUAUGCGGAGGUAACCCUCCGCGGCCAGAUUCUUAGAGGGACUAUGGCCUUCCAGGCCAAGGAAGUUUGAGGCAAAAACAGGUGUGUGAUGCCCUUAGAU
rnacentral:ncRNA from 1 species